AUUGAACGCUGGCGGCAGGCUUAACACAUGCAAGUCGAGCGGGGUGAUGGUGCUUGCACUAUCACUUAGCGGCGGACGGGUGAGUAAUGCUUAGGAAUCUGCCUAUUAGUGGGGGACAACAUCUCGAAAGGGAUGCUAAUACCGCAUACGUCCUACGGGAGAAAGCAGGGGAUCACUUGUGACCUUGCGCUAAUAGAUGAGCCUAAGUCGGAUUAGCUAGUUGGUGGGGUAAAGGCCUACCAAGGCGACGAUCGGUAGCGGGUCUGAGAGGAUGGUCCGCAACACUGGGACUGCGACACGGCCCAGACUCCUACGGGAGGCAGCAGUGGGGAAUAUGGGACAAUGGGGGGAACCCUGAUCCAGCCAUGCCGCGUGUGUGAAGAAGGCCUUAUGGUUGUAAAGCACGUUAAGCGAGGAGGAGGCUCUUUUGGUUAAUACCCAAGAUGAGUGGACGUUACUCGCAGAAUAAGCACCGGCUAACUCUGUGCCAGCCGCCGCGGUAA
rnacentral:rRNA from 1 species